rnacentral:rRNA from 2 species
UGGGGUGCACCAGGCGAGAAAACUUUGCAAUGUGCGAAAGCACGACAAGGUUAGUCCGAGUGAUUUCUGCUAAAGAGAUCUUUUGCUAGUUAUAAAACCACUAGUGAAUAAGGGGUGGGCAAGUUCUGGUGUCAGCCGCCGCGGUAAAACCAGCACCUCAAGUGGUCAGGAUGAUUAUUGGGCCUAAAGCAUCCGUAGCCGGCUCUGUAAGUUUUCGGUUAAAUCCAUGUGCUCAACGCAUGGGCUGCCGAAAAUACUGCAGAGAUAGGGAGUGGGAGAGGUAGACGGUACUCGGUAGGAAGGGGUAAAAUCCUUUGAUCUAUCGAUGACCACCUGUGGCGAAGGCGGUCUACCAGAACACGUUCGACGGUGAGGGAUGAAAGCUGGGGGAGCAAACCGGAUUAGAUACCCGGGUAGUCCCAGCUGUAAACGAUGCAGACUCGAUGAUGCAUUGGCAUAUAGCCAGUGCAGUGUCGCAGGGAAGCCGUUAAGUCUGCCGCCUGGGAAGUACGUACGCAAGUAUGAAACUUAAAGGAAUUGG